ACCGGUUCAAACUGAACCGGUGGGGAAAAUAUUAAUCCCACUAGUUUUGAACCGGUGGCAAUGUUAAAAAAAAUCGCUCUUUUAUAAACCCUAAGCAAGCCUCUCCUAUCUCCCCUUACUCUCCUGCCUCUUUCUCUCUCCUCUCAGCUCGCCUCUCAGCUCGCCUCUCCUGCCUCCUUCAUUCUCCUGAUCUCUUCGUUUGAUCUACUCCUUCUCAUCUCCUUCCUAAGCCCUCCUCAUAGGCCCCUACAUUGCACUUCAAGCUCGUCCCUUCUCUCCCUCGAUCUACUUCUCUUUCCCCUCAUAGCCCACCACCGUCAACGCCACUAACCACCACCACGAAGACUAACCAUUUUUCGCACCUUCAUGGUUUUGUAUGGUCGAAUAAUGAAGGUUCAUAUAGCAAAAGGAUUCAAGAUGUUGAUUUUGGAAAUUCGAUUUUGCAGUUUUUUUUUUUUAAAUUGUAAAAUACUGUAAUAAUUCAUUUGAUGAAUAUAUCGUUGUCUCACAUUUUUUAAGUGAAAAAGCAUAUUAUUGGCAUUUUUUUGAUGAAUAUAUCGUUGAUGAAUA